rnacentral:rRNA from 1 species
GAGGAUGACCAGCCACACUGGGACUGAGACACGGCCCAGACUCCUACGGGAGGCAGCAGUGGGGAAUAUUGGACAAUGGGGGGAACCUUGAUCCAGCAAUGCCGCGUGUGUGAAGAAGGCCUGAGGGUUGUAAAGCACUUUCAGUGGGGAGGAGGGUUGUUUGGUUAAGAGCUGGACAAUUGGACGUUACCCACAGAAGAAGCACCGGCUAACUCCGUGCCAGCAGCCGCGGUAAUACGGAGGGUGCGAGCGUUAAUCGGAAUUACUGGGCGUAAAGGGUGCGUAGGUGGUUUGGUAAGUUAACUGUGAAAGCCCUGGGCUCAACCUGGGAAUUGCAUUUAAUACUGCUGGACUUGAGUAUAGGAGAGGGAAGUGGAAUUUCCGGUGUAGCGGUGAAAUGCGUAGAGAUCGGAAGGAACACCAGUGGCGAAGGCGGCUUCCUGGCCUAAUACUGACACUGAGGCACGAAAGCGUGGGGAGCAAACA